rnacentral:rRNA from 1 species
GAUGAACGCUGGCGGCGUGCCUAAUACAUGCAAGUCGAGCGAACAGACGAGGAGCUUGCUCCUCUGACGUUAGCGGCGGACGGGUGAGUAACACGUGUAUAACCUACCUAUAAGACUGGGAUAACUUCGGGAAACCGGAGCUAAUACCGGAUAAUAUAUUGAACCGCAUGGUUCAAUAGUGAAAGACGGUUUUGCUGUCACUUAUAGAUGGAUCCGCGCCGCAUUAGCUAGUUGGUAAGGUAACGGCUUACCAAGGCAACGAGGCGUAGCCGACCUGAGAGGGUGAUAGGCCACACGGGAGCUGAGACACGGACAAGACGCCUAAGGGAGGCAGCAGUAGGGAAUGUGCCGCAAUGGGCGAAAGCCUGACGGAGCAACGCCGCGUGAGUGAUGAAGGUCUUCGGAGCGUAAAACUCUGUUAUUAGGGAAGAACAAAUGUGUAAGUAAAUAUGCACGUCUUGACGGUACCUGAUCAGAAAGCAACGGCUAACUACGUG